UAGGGAAUCUUCCACAAUGGACGCAAGUCUGGUGGAGCAACGCCGCGUGAGUGAAGAAGGUCUUCGGAUCGUAAAGCUCUGUUGUUGGUGAAGAAGGAUAGGGCAGUAACUGGUCUUUAUUUGACGGUAAUCAACCAGAAAGUCACGGCUAACUACGUGCCAGCAGCCGCGGUAAUACGUAGGUGGCAAGCGUUGUCCGGAUUUAUUGGGCGUAA
rnacentral:rRNA from 1 species